CAAAUGCUCAGGAUUCACACCCUGCUGGGAGGCAGGUUAUCAUGUAAAUAAAUUGAAUGGAGUCAAAUGGAGCCACAGUACAAUUUACUUCCAAGAGACCUAAUGAUUCCUGAAUGUCUUUAUUUCGUUACAUGGUAUUUAAGGCAGUCAUACGGUUACUUGUCCAUGUGUUCUGGGCCAAUAACUAUUCAUGGCAGCAGAGUAGGAAGCAGAGCUUCUUUGAUAGACUUUAAUGAAAGAUGAGAAAUGGAAUUCCAUUUUAAUGGAAGAUGAAGCAUGAUACAGUGGAUGGUUUAAUCCCACCUCUGACACUUACCUUCAAUAACCUCAGAGGUGGAAACUCAGAAAGAUUAUGCCCUUGUCCCAGGCCUUCCAACUCAAAAUGAGGUCUACUCGCACCAUAAAGCAAUAGAGCAACACUGAAGAAGCAGUUCUAGAAGCCACGGAAGGGGACACUUCUUUGGAUGCAUUACUGAAUGACCAUUUGUUAGAUAUGCUUUAUCAGAGGUUCCAAUUCAGAUGAGGAAACUGAAGCCCAGGGAGACAAAACCAAUUGAUCAUGGAAAAUGUACAUGGGAAAAAUGUAUCAAAGAUCACUGUUCCUGUUCUUAGAAUGCACUCCAGGGGCGGAGCCAAGAUGGCAGAGGGAAAGCAGUGACUUGCUUGAGCUCUCCCCCAA